CAUGCGCCGAUCCAAAUGGCGGAAGUGCGCGGUUUUGUGAAACCGCGGUGAUUUUUUAUUAUUAUUUUUUUUUUGGGGGUGGGGGGGGAGGUGUUAACCGUUUAAAUGGGGACGCUCAACUGGACGCCAUGCUGGGCCUACGUCUCCUUCGCGUUUCUGUCCGUUCUGCUCGCCAUCCUGUGCGCGCCCCGUCACUGGUACGACGCCGGUUUCGAGAGCGAGCCGUCGCGAGCUGCGCCGCCCGCGCGGCUCAUGAGCGUGCGGGAGCUGUCGCUGCACGACGGCGAGGAGAGCAGCAGGGGCCUCUACGUGGCUCUGCUGGGCCAGGUCUUCGACGUGCGGAGGGGCCAAAAGCACUACGGGGUCGGUGGCGCUUAUCACUGCAUGGCAGGUAAAGAUGCCUCGCUGGCAUUCGUCACUGGUGACUUUACCGAGAGUGGGCUGACAGAUGAUGUGUCCGGCCUGUCCCCUUUGCAGGCAGUGGCCCUGUAUGACUGGCUGGGUUUCUACCAGAGGGAUUACACACCUGUAGGUAGACUCGUUGGCAGAUUCUACACAGACAGCGGGCAGCCCACGGAGGCCCUGCUGCAGGUGGAGGAGUCACUGAGAGAAGGCCGCAGACUCAAGGCUCAGUCUCGGGCGGAGAGAGAGCUCUUCCCACCCUGCAAUUCCGAAUGGAGCGCCGCUAACGGAGGGAGGGUCUGGUGUUCCACCAAGAGUGGGGGAGUCCAAAGAGACUGGGUGGGCGUCCCCAGAAAGCUCUACUCUCCUGGCUCCAGUCACUCUCGCUGCGUCUGCGUGAAAGACUCUUCCGCAGCGCAAAACCCCAACCUGCAGGAAUACGAGGGCUGCCCGGUCUCUCUUGGACCCGGUCAACAGAGGUGGGGGUAAAGAAAAGUGAGCGAUGAAGGUUUCCAUGAACGUGUACCAACAGCGCAGCCCUUUAGGGUCCGCAGAACUGCAGACUCAAUCCAGCGGGCAACAAGCUGAUUAAAGUGGAAUUUUUUUGGAGACGGUGGUCCAUAUCUGUCCAGGGAUCCCCUGUCAGUAUGUUCCUGCUACUGGUGUCCCUUUUUCCUGAUGUGCCUGACCCGACAGUACCAAGCUUAACCUGGUUGCGACCGG